UACGUAGGGUGCAAGCGUUAAUCGGAAUUACUGGGCGUAAAGCGGGCGCAGGCGGUUUUGUAAGUCAGAUGUGAAAUCCCCGGGCUUAACCUGGGAACUGCGUUUGAAAAUACAAGGCUAGAGUGUGGCAGAGGGGGGUGGAAUUCCACGUGUAGCAGUGAAAUGCGUAGAGAUGUGGAGGAACACCGAUGGCGAAGGCAGCCCCCUGGGUUAACACUGACGCUCAGGCACGAAAGCGUGGGGAGCAAACAGG
rnacentral:rRNA from 1 species